rnacentral:tRNA from 1 species
GGCGACAUGGCCGAGUGGUCUAAGGCGCCGUCUUAAGGUUGGCGGCUCGUCACGAGCGGGUGCGAAUCGGCGGUCUUCGGGCGUGGGUUCGAAUCCCACUGUCGUCA